AUAUAUGCCUAUAUGUAUAUAUAUAUACAGACAUAUUUCUAACGAACAUUUUUUCUUCUACUUUAAUGUGCAAUUGGGAAAGAUUCGAUCAACAUUUCGAUCGAGGCUCGCUAAUAAGCUCUCGAAUAAAUGCAUCUUGAUCGAAAAUGAAGCCUUUCGUACAUUAGCAGUUUCUUAUUGUCGGACGUAAAAGGGUCAUCAUAAAUAGCACAGAUAUGAGACAUACAAAGUUCCUCCUAUUUGGAACGACGAAACUUGGAAAUUGUUUGAAAUCAGUGUGCACAGGAAAUACGAGCUCUUAUCUAUUCAACGUUGGCUGUCACCAUUUAGAAAACUUUUGAAUAAGACGGAAAUGAAGAAACGGAGAAGGAUAAAAAUGCACGCGAGGUCUUUAUUGGCGAUAAUACUGACGAUAAUUUCUUCUUUUUUCUUAAUAAAUCUCAUUCCGACGUAUCGCGAGAUCGAUUUAAGAAGAAUUGAUGGACAAUAAACGUGGAUGACAUGCUUCUCGACUUACGUCGAUUGUAAUCGACGUAGAAGGUCACAUAGGAACAUAGGAAUAAUGGCGAGAACGGGGAGAGGAGAGUGGAUCCGAUCUAGGUAAAAGCUUCGAAAGAGAAAAUUUAUCAAUUCUCACGUAUGCACAGGGAUAAUCUUGUAACGGCCCAUUUAAAAUAAUCCGUAUCCAUCCGUAACGCACUGGCGUUAGCGUAAAUAAAAAAGCUUUAAAAUUAUUUUCCGUAUCGAUGUGUCAAGUAUAAAUCACGUAUACAAGAGAUUUUCCAUGUAUAUGGGAUAAAACUAUGUAAAUGAUAUAAAAAGGUUGAAGUGAGGUUUCGAAAAAAAAGGGAAAAAAAAGGUUAGAAAGAAAGAAAGAAAGAAAAGAAAAGAUAAACGUUUCUAAACAUUUUUUCCCGUUAAUAAAGUGAAUCUUCGUUUGGGUCGAAUGGGACACCUUGUAUAAGAAUCACAAAUGCUGAUGCGAAGUAAAUAGUGAAAGAGGGAGCGAGAGAAAGGAAGAAAGAUAGAGAGGGAAAGUCAGAAGGCAACGCGAGAGAGUGGGAAAAGACCUUCGUAAGAGAGAACUCGGAUUCGUAUU